UACGUAGGGGGCAAGCGUUGUCCGGAAUCAUUGGGCGUAAAGCGCGUGUAGGCGGCCAGAAAAGUCCGCUGUGAAAACUCGAGGCUCAACUUCGAGCUGCCGCUGGAAACUGUCUGGCUAGAGUCCGGAAGGGGCGAGUGGAAUUCCUGGUGUAGCGGUGAAAUGCGCAGAUAUCAGGAGGAACACCUAUGGCGAAGGCAGCUCGCUGGGACGGUACUGACGCUGAGGCGCGAAAGCGUGGGGAGCGAACAGG
rnacentral:rRNA from 1 species